GGGGCGUUAGCUCAGUUGGUAGAGCAGCGGACUCUUAAUCCGUAGGUCGACAGUUCGAAUCUGUCACGCCCCACCA
rnacentral:tRNA from 5 species